rnacentral:lncRNA from 1 species
GACAGAGGCCAGACUGCAACUUAAGCUAUCUGGAAUCUUACCUCUGCUGUCUUACUGGCUGUCUACAUGGGGCUACAUUUUAACUAUGGCUUACAGAAAUCAUUGCCUGUCAACAGCCUCCACCCCCACCUCCCCACCCCCACUCUUGGGAAUGGACUCUGACAAACUCACCAUCAGGAAAGUUGAUGUUUCCCAUCUAGGAUGGAAGAAUGGGAUUCUGAACUUUGUCACUGUUUCUGAAACGUCAUCAGCUC